ACCAAAUGAUAGACACUAAUCUCCAUUUCUUAGAAAUGAGGAAAUAAAACCACAAAAUGUACAAAGUCAGAUCUAAAACCCCUACCUUUGGGUCCAGACUUUUCUUCUAAAGUUCUGCAGUUAUACCCAGAUGCCACAGAAACAUAGGAUCUUAGAGGAGAAGUAACUUAGCAUUUCAUGGAUGGUGCUGCAUCUGUAAGCGAGGAUGGACAAAUGUGUCCAGAACAAGCAGUUGUAACUAUUGUGAGGCCCCAUCUGGAACAGAAGGAGAAGAGACAUUCUAGGGAGGAACACACCAAUGUGUGCAUGAGGAGCAUUUGGAAACAGUCUACUCAAUGUGAAGACAACAAGGAUGAAGACCUUUAUGAUGAUUUACUUCCGCUUAAUAAAUAUCUUCAGUUCCUACCUGACAUGAUUUAUCCUCUGGAAGAAAACAAAUCCUGUGGUGACCAGAAUGACCACAAAAAGAGAGAGUUUCACAUAAAGAAUGAUCAGUAAGGACAACGCUGGAGAUCCUGAGGUUCUGAGACCUUUAAAUACAGACAGGGGUGAAAAAUCAUUUCAAGCAUUCUUCUAGUUACAAAUUAGAGUCAAUCAUUUUAAAGAACAUUUUAAAAUAUUCUUAAGAGUUCAUGGACUGUCAUAAUCAUAAAACCUUCUAAAUUAUGACUCAAAUGUUACUAAUAUACCAUUCUUUCAUGACAGAGUUUAGGAACCAUGUUUGUGUUUUGUACAUCGUAGGUUUCUGACAAAUUUUCUGAACAAAUAAAUGCACACUACGCAUUGCUAAUACUUUCCAAUUUUAUAAGAAAAGCAAUAUGUCAAGCUUUCCCCUGUAUAUUCCAACUUCC